AUUGAACGCUGGCGGCAGGCCUAACACAUGCAAGUCGGGCGAGCGGCGGACGGGUGAGUAAUGUAUGGGGAUCUGCCUGAUGGAGGGGGAUAACUUCUGGAAACGGUCGCUAAUACCGCAUACCAACAGAUGAACCCAUAUGGGAUUAGCUUGUAGGUGAGGUAACGGCUCAUCUAGGGGACGAUCCGUAGCUGGUCUGAGAGGAUGAUCAGCCACACUGGGACUGAGACACGGCCCAGACUCCUACGGGAGGGAGCAGUGGGGGAUAUUGCACAAUGGGCGAAAGCCUGAUGCAGCGACGCCGCGUGGGGGAUGAAGGCUUUCGGGUUGUAAACCUCUUUCGCUAUCGAACGGGUAGGUGGAGAAGAAGCGCCGGCUAACUACGUGCCAGCAGCCGCGGUAAUUC
rnacentral:rRNA from 1 species